UACGUAGGGGGCUAGCGUUGUCCGGAAUCAUUGGGCGUAAAGCGCGCGUAGGCGGCCCGAUAAGUCCGCUGUAAAAGUCCAGGGCUCAACCCUGGAAUGCCGGUGGAUACUGUCGGGCUAGAGUCCGGAAGAGGCGAGUGGAAUUCCUGGUGUAGCGGUGGAAUGCGCAGAUAUCAGGAGGAACACCGAUGGCGAAGGCAGGUCUCUGGGCCACUACUGACGCUGAGAAGCGAAAGCAUGGGGAGCGAACAGG
rnacentral:rRNA from 1 species